rnacentral:rRNA from 1 species
UACGUAGGGUGCAAGCGUUAAUCGGAAUUACUGUGCGUAAAGCGUGCGCAGGCGGUUUUGUAAGUCUGUCGUGAAAGCCCCGGGCUCAACCUGGGAAUUGCGAUGGAGACUGCAAGGCUUGAAUCUGGCAGAGGGGGGUAGAAUUCCACGUGUAGCAGUGAAAUGCGUAGAGAUGUGGAGGAACACCGAUGGCGAAGGCAGCCCCCUGGGUCAAGAUUGACGCUCAUGCACGAAAGCGUGGGGAGCAAACAGG